rnacentral:rRNA from 1 species
GACGAACGCUGGCGGCGUGCUUAACACAUGCAAGUCGAACGCUGAAGACCUGGCUUUUGUUGGGUUGGAUGAGUGGCGAACGGGUGAGUAACACGUGAGUAACCUGCCCUCUUCUUUGGGAUAACGCCCGGAAACGGGUGCUAAUACUGGAUAUUCACUGAUCUUCGCAUGGGGGUUGGUGGAAAGGUUUGUUCUGGUGGGGGAUGGGCUCGCGGCCUAUCAGCUUGUUGGUGGGGUGAUGGCCUACCAAGGCUUUGACGGGUAGCCGGCCUGAGAGGGGGACCGGUGACAUUGGGACGGAGAUACGGCCCAGACUCCUACGGGAGGCAGCAGUGGGGAAUAUUGCACAAUGGGCGAAAGCCUGAUGCAGCGACGCCGCGUGAGGGAUGGAGGCCUUCGGGUUGUAAACCUCUUUCGCUCAUGGGUAAGCCGCAACUGUGGGUUGUGGUGAGGGUAGUGGGUAAAGAAGCGCCGGCUAACUACGUG